GCGGGGCGGGCGGUGCGGCGCGAGCCAGUCGGUGCUGCGGAGCGGCCCCGCGGAGGAGCCACCGGAGGCUGUAGUUGCCGGGGAGUCCCGCAUUCAGUCCGCUCAGCCUCUGGGCCGGGCCUCGGCGGCCCCCAGAGCCCCACACCCGCAGGCCCAGGGCCUCCGCGGCAGCGCGGGACUCUCACUCCGCUCUCUCUCCCGCCCGGGGCUUCCACCGCAACUUCUGUGGGCGUCGCAUCGCACGCGUGUUCAAGGACACCCAGGAAAAGGCUUCUUAGGGUCCCAUCCUGGGGCGCUAAAUGGGAACCAGUCAACCCACCCCCAAGCCUACCCUGUCUCCUUGCAAUCAAAUGCAAUCACGAGCAAACCACCUUGCUUCCGAAAGCUUCUCAGGCCUUCCCGGGCGACUGCGCUCUCCAGUUCAGCUUCAGCGUGGUCAGAGACACUAUCUCUAUGGAAGGUCACUCCUGGAAGAAUACAUUUACUUAGCUGCUUCCACCAUGGAAUCCUAGCUUGUGCUGGAGUGUCCCCUUCAUCCUCCUCCUGUGCUUUGAGAAUCCAUUGUUGCUGGUAUGCCCUGAGCAGUGCCCUUGAACUUGCCCAGGUACCCCUUGACAUCCACACCACAAAUAGUCUAGCCUUACAAAGGUGGACAAGAUGUCUUUUCAACAGUCUGUACUGCCACUUCCAUCCAUCUGAAGCUUUCUGUUCCUGAGUCUGUCAUGACAUUAAUCUUUCAAAAAUCUUUCACAGAGAUUUUUAGUCUCUACUAAAAAUACAAAACAAUUAGCCAGGCAUAGUGGUGUGUGCCUGUAGUCCCAGCUACUUGGGAGGCUGAGGCAAGAGAAGCGCUUGAAUCUGGGAGGCAGACGUUGUAGUGAGCAGAGAUUGCGCCACUGCACUUCAGCCUGAGCAACAGAGUCAGACUCCAUCUCAAAAAUAAUAAAUAUAUAUAUAUACACACACACACACACAAAUAGUAUGGAUAAAGGGAAGACGCUGACCUAUCAGAACAACUGCCUGAUCAACCAGAAAGGAUUCCAGAAAUGAACACCUCGCAUGGCCAUGUGAGAACAUACCAGCUAACACCCCUUUGACAGCGGCAAUCAUCAGAGAGGAUGACAGCUCUCAGGAAGAAGAGACCACAGAACACCUACAAUGGGGCGGUGCAAAGGAUGAGAAUCUGGAGGAGGAGGAUGAGAAGAAACAGGAUGACCUGCAAUUGCUCUUCUGCUUGUAUUUACUAGCUUGGUUAGCGGGUACCCGUAUCUUCUCAGUCACUUACAUGAUGAAUCUGGGCGUUACCCUAGAUUCAUUCAUCUGCCUUUCCCGUGUCAUCCAGCUGGUCUCCUGGCAUUAUCUAUCCUGUCCUUAUUCAUUUCUGAACACCUCCCUUCCUUGCCUCAUUGCCUGUCUUACUCCAGUCCCCAUCAUCUUCCUGAUCAACCACAGAGCAACAGACUCCUAGAUGGAUCCUCUCUCUGUGUCCCCUCCAAUCCAUCCUCCAUAGCUCCUCAGACUUUUCUUUUUAAGCCAAUUGUAUUACAAUAUGUCUGCUAAAGAUCCUUAAGUGAAUUCAUAAUGCCUUCAGGAUAAGGUCCAAACUUUAAGCAUGAACUGGCUGCUGCCUUCCUUUCCAGAUUAGUCUCCAGCCUGUGUCCCCUAAUAUCCCAUAUCCUCACCAGUCCAAAUUACCUGCCGUGUGAAUUCACACCUCCAUAUAUCUGUUAGUUCUUUUGUCUCUCUUUCUCCUUUCUUCACCUGACAAACUGUUGAGCCUUGGAGAUCCAGUUCAGGCAGGAUGUCCUCUGAUCUUCCCAAGGUGAAUGCCUCUUGAGUACUUCACCUGUUUUCAUUUGACACCUAACCUUGAUUGAUUUUUCUUUCAUCUCCUCCGCUACACUGUAGGCAACCUGAUCGCAAGGGCUGUGUCUCAGCCAUCUUUGUGUCUUCGUUCUUAGUCUUCAAUAGAAUUUUACUUAAUAAAUAAAUACUUAACAUAUGGACUGAUAUAAUGUUUAAAGUUUAUUAAUUUAAAAAAAAUGUUGCUGAGAAUUAUAAACAGAUUGCAAAGAAAAAAUGCCAGAACAGUCACAUCAUAUGCAACCUG
rnacentral:lncRNA from 10 species